UCAUGCAUACAUUCAUUUUUAGGUCAUUUAGCAUUUGCAUUUCAUCAUGGAAAUCGGAAUCGGAUCCAAGAAGCUUGAACAUCAUCCAGGACACUUUGUGGAUUCUAUUUAGACGAUCAGUCAACACAAGGGAAAAACUUGAGUUACUUCCAACAGGGGUCUAUUCGUCAGUCAAAAUGUUAAUCUUGAAGGAGCAAAGGUUUG
rnacentral:lncRNA from 1 species